AAACAAUCUCCUGUUUAUGGGAAUCGAGGAAAAAGAGAAGGAAACUUAUGAAACAUCGGAGGCGAUCGUGAAGAACUUUAUGCAUCAGCAUCUCAAAAUCCCCGUGGAAGAGGUUAGGAAAAUCCAACUAGAACGAGUGCACAGACUUGGUCCCCGAAAAGAAAACAGUAAAUUCCCAAGGCCGUUGGUUGCUAUAUUCGCGAACUGCAAAUGUAAGGACCAAGUCCUUGGCCUCAGUAAGAAUUUGAAGGGCACACGGUUCUACCUGAGCAAUCAAUAUCCAGCGGAAAUAGUGGAAAGACGACGAAACCUCAUUCCAAUCAUGAACUCGUUCAGACAAAAGGGAAAGAAGGCACGCUUAGUUGUUGACAAGCUGUAUGUAGACGGAGCAUUGUACAGGGGGGACUAUCAACAAAGUGGGAAAUGAUAUGGAGAAGAAGACAUGCCGUUAAGGCACGCGUUUUUUUUUUUUUUUUUUUUCUCCGGUUUUCCUAAUAACACAAUGACGUCGGAGAGGAGUGAUGAGGGUUCAUUCAUUCAAGAAUACUUGGAUUGGAUAUAUUAAGGUUCUCAAAUGGAGCUACUUUCUACUUAGUAGGUGGGACUGAGGUUGGAUGAUUUUUGUGUUUUUCUCUCUUUGUUUUUUUUGGUACACCAGACGGCCAUGGUUUGUGGGAGGGAAGGGUGGGUUUUUGUUUUAUGUUAUGUGUUCUGUGAUUUAUGUUAUGUGUCAUGUGUUGAUGUUAAGAAGGCAAUUCAGAUCCUAUCUGGUUACAUUCAGCGUAAAGAUGCCAUUUAUGUGCCUAACUGGAGGAAGGUUUUAUCAGCUGCAGAUAUGAAUAAAGAGAUAGCUUUCUGGUUACUUAUGUUACUUAUGUGUGGGCAUACAUGUAUGGACAUACAUGUUUUAUUUGUAUUUAUUGUUUUGUGUUUACACACUUUUGUUUUUUUUCUGUCGUUUGUAUUAGGAUCAAAUGUAUUAACCUUUGUUCACGACCCUUCUACUUUAAUCAUUGUCCUUUUCAGAAAUAUUAAAGCUACUUUGAUAUUAACCAGUAGAUCCAAUAAGGUUCAUGGGGCCCUGCUGUUAAUUUGCCUAGUCUUGAUGGGAAAUGAAUACGUGACAAUGGUGGCUAGUAACCAGGAUUUAGAACAUAGGACUGUUAUCGCUUUAACUUGUAAUGCAUAACAACCUGAUAUCAAUUGCUAGUUACAACUGCAACGGACUAGCUGACUCCUGUAAGAGGAAAGAGGUUUGGACUUGGCUUCAUGACAAAAAAUCCUACGGUAUCAUAUGUUUACAAGAGACUCA
ensembl:lncRNA